AGCAAGUAGAGUGGCGCACGGGUGAGUAACACGUAGGUAAUCUACCUUUGGAUUGGGAAUAACAACCGGAAACGGUUGCUAAUACCGAAUAAUGCAGCGGCACCUAAUGGUGACAGUUGUUAAAGCGGGGGAUCGAAAGACCUCGCGUCUAAAGAGGAGCCUGCGGCGGAUUAGCUAGUUGGUAAGGUAAUGGCUUACCAAGGCGAUGAUCCGUAGCCGGCCUGAGAGGGCGGUCGGCCACACUGACACUGACAUACGGGUCAGACUCCUACGGGAGGCAGCAGUCGGGAAUUUUGGGCAAUGGGCGAAAGCCUGACCCAGCAACGCCGCGUGAAGGAUGAAAUCCCUCGGGAUGUAAACUUCGCAAGAACGGGAAGAAUAAGUGAGAGUUAAUAUCUCUUACGAUGACGGUA
rnacentral:rRNA from 1 species